rnacentral:rRNA from 1 species
AUUGAACGCUGGCGGCGUGCCUAAUACAUGCAAGUCGAGCGAAUGGAUUAAGAGCUUGCUCUUAUGAAGUUAGCGGCGGACGGGUGAGUAACACGUGGGUAACCUGCCCAUAAGACUGGGAUAACUCCGGGAAACCGGGGCUAAUACCGGAUAACAUUUUGAACCGCAUGGUUCGAAAUUGAAAGGCGGCUUCGGCUGUCACUUAUGGAUGGACCCGCGUCGCAUUAGCUAGUUGGUGAGGUAACGGCUCACCAAGGCAACGAUGCGUAGCCGACCUGAGAGGGUGGUCGGACACCCUGGAACUGAGACACGGCCCAGACUCCUACCGGAGGCAGCAGGAGGGAAUCUUCCGCAAUGGACGAACGUCUGACGGAGCAACGCCGGGUGAGUGAUGAAGGCUUUCGGGUCGUAAAACUCUGUUGUUAGGGAAGAACAAGUGCUAGUUGAAUAAGCUGGCACCUUGACGGUACCUAACCAGAAAGCCACGGCUAACUACGUGCCAGCAGCCGCCGCAG